GAUGAACGCUGGCGGCGUGCCUAAUACAUGCAAGUCGAGCGAACGGACGAGAAGCUUGCUUCUCUGAUGUUAGCGGCGGACGGGUGAGUAACACGUGGAUCACCUACCUAUAAGACUGGGAUAAUUUCGGGAAACCGGAGCUAAUACCGGAUAAUAUUUUGAACCGCAUGGUUCAAAAGUGAAAGACGGCCUUGCUGUCACUUAUAGCUGGUUCCGCGCUGCAUUAGCUAGUUGGUAAGGUAACGGCUUACCAAGGCAACGAUGCAUAGCCGACCUGAGAGGGUGAUCGGCGACAUUGGAACUGAGACACGGUCCAGACUCCUACGGGAGGCAGCAGUAGGGAAUCUUCCGCAAUGGGCGAAAGCCUGACGGAGCAACGCCGCGUGAGUGAUGAAGGUCUUCGGAUCGUAAAACUCUGUUAUUGGGGAAGAACAGAUGUGUAAGUAGCUGUGCACAUCUUGACGGUACCUAAUCAGAAAGCCACGGCUAACUACGUG
rnacentral:rRNA from 1 species